rnacentral:rRNA from 1 species
AGCGCAGGCGGUUUCUUAAGUCUGAUGUGAAAGCCUUCGGCUCAACCGAAGAAGUGCAUCGGAAACUGGGAAACUUGAGUGCAGAAGAGGACAGUGGAACUCCAUGUGUAGCGGUGAAGUGCGUAGAUAUAUGGAAGAACACCAGUGGCGAAGGCGGCUGUCUGGUCUGUAACUGACGCUGAGGCUCGAAAGCAUGGGUAGCAAACA